rnacentral:pre_miRNA from 1 species
CGUUAUAGGAUCUCGUUGAGACGCCUGAGCGAUCUCACCGGGCAUUCCUAUGACGGA